CGCAAGCCGCCUAAUUUUACGAAUCGAUUGUGAUUAGGCUUCAAGAAGAAGUAUCGUUUUGUUUCUUUUUUAACGUAACCCCAACCCGUAAAGUAUUCUGUGCUUGUAUGAUGUCAGUAAGAAAGAUGGGAUUGUUUAUUUCAGCCGGCGUGAUUCACUCCGUAACGUCUGGUCAAUGUGACGUGGACCUGCACUUUAAUAAUGGCACUCCUCCAGCCACACUGAGCUUAAAAUGGUAAAGAUAUUCAAUUAGGAAACGCACAUCGCAUAAAAGAAAGUUCCGCGGGGUUCCAGAAACAUUUUUCCGAAGUGAUUCAGUUUCAUGACUGACCAUUAUCUGAUGCUGUUGGAAUGAAAGGCAUUACAACGUUAAGCUCAGUCAGCGCUCCGAGUGCCGGCAGCGCCCCCGCCUGGUAGAACUCGGCAGCUCCGUGAGAUGAGUACCGCUCUGACGUUCCCUGGAUUUCUAGGAAUGUCCCUUCCCCGUUGCUAUAUUUGGAGGUGAUUUCUAGGAAAAUAGUGCUGGUCAGGACCGUGUGCCUCCAUAUACAGAGCGAGGCAUACGCUGUAAAGUUUUCAUUUAUUCGCGCGAGAGAAAGGCUGUCGCCACGCUCCGGCGGUUCUGGAGUUUUUCUUUCUUUUUUAACGAUUCUUUUCAGCCUUGGCGCCUGGCAGUCACCCUUGUCAUGAGAUUUACUGCCAGUGUGGGGACCUGUGUGAGGAUCGUCAAGUUGCAGCUGGAUGGCUGCACGCCCCUCCGGAGGGCUCUGCUCCUUUCGCUCCGCAUUUCUCCUUCUUGCAGUGCGGUGCACUUGCAUGACCGAUAUUUGGAUGUGGAACCCCCCCCCAGAGCCCCCGCCUCCUCCCGGCACACACCCCUCUACCCCCCCCCCCCCCCCCCCUGCUGGCCUCUUGAUAGCCUGUGGCGUGACCAUGAAGAAAUAUUUGAAGAUCUUUACAUUGCAAUGAGUCAGGGUUGCCAGACAAGACAGCCCAAACCAGUAGGAGCACGCAGAGCCCCUUAAAGGAACAAAGGGCGAAAUGAAGACGCGCAGCCUCACUGGAAGGGGGGCACUGAGCGCAGCAGCACGGAGUCUGAAUUUGCAGAUGGGAGAGGAAAACUUAUAUAUACAUGAGGAGGGCAAAGCAAACACCACAUGGACAACAACUGGGAACAGGGUCUGAACCUGCCAGCUAGUUUCUGAUAACCUUCUCGUCUUUCCACAAAUCUGGGAAAGGACACAUUUCCUCUAGGCAACAAUAAAGAAAAGGACAAGCUCUGGUGAACGCAUGCAGUGAUGUCCUUCAGUUUUGUUCAUACAGUGACUGUACCAGGUGCAUACAAUUUUACUGUAUAAUGUUGUGUAUUUACUCUCUAGAAACCUAUUAUAUGAAUGUCACGUAUACAUAGUUUACGUUAAUCACAUGUGCAGUCAUUAAACCUGUAAAUGUGCGUUAGUAAUGUUUACAAUGGAAUGUUGGAUUAACAUUUAGUACAUAGUACUAAAGUUAAUGCGUCUCUAGUGUCCAAAUCAUGUCCGAAAUAAGAUACCAUUUAGAGGAUGCCCAUCUGCAUGCAUCACUCAUAUCAUGCAGAUCAUCAGUCAGUCUUC